AGCAGCCGCGGUAAUUCCAGCUCCAAUAGCGUAUAUUAAAGUUGUUGCAGUUAAAAGCUCGUAGUUGAAUUUCGGGGUUAGCAGGUCGGUCGUGCCAUCGGUAUGAACUGGUCUCGCUGAUCCCUCCCUCUUGACGAACUGUGAUGCCAUUAAUUUGGUGUCGCAGGGAAUCAGGACUGUUACUUUGAAAAAUUAGAGUGUUUAAAGCAGGCUCACGCUUGAAUACAUUAGCAUGGAAUAAUGAAAUAGGACGUUUGAUCCUAUUUUGUUGGCUUCUAGGAUUGACGUAAUGAUUAAUAGGGAUAGUUGGGGGCAUUAGUAUUCAAUUGUCAGAGGUGAAAUUCUUGGAUUUAUUGAAGACUAACUACUGCGAAAGCAUUUGCCAAGGAUGUUUUCAUUAAUCAAGAACGAAAGUUAGGGAUCGAAGACGAUCAGAUACCGUCGUAGUCUUAACCAUAAACUAUGCCGACUAGGGAUCGGAUGAUGUUAAUUUUUUAAUGUACUCU
rnacentral:misc_RNA from 1 species